AGAGUUUGAUCCUGGCUCAGAACGAACGCUGGCGGCAUGCCUAACACAUGCAAGUCGAACGAGAUCUUCGGAUCUAGUGGCGCACGGGUGCGUAACGCGUGGGAAUCUGCCCCUUGGUUCGGAAUAACAGUUAGAAAUGACUGCUAAUACCGGAUGACGACGUAAGUCCAAAGAUUUAUCGCCGAGGGAUGAGCCCGCGUAGGAUUAGCUAGUUGGUGUGGUAAAGGCGCACCAAGGCGACGAUCCUUAGCUGGUCUGAGAGGAUGAUCAGCCACACUGGGACUGAGACACGGCCCAGACUCCUACGGGAGGCAGCAGUGGGGAAUAUUGGACAAUGGGCGAAAGCCUGAUCCAGCAAUGCCGCGUGAGUGAUGAAGGCCUUAGGGUUGUAAAGCUCUUUUACCUGGGAUGAUAAUGACAGUACCGGGAGAAUAAGCUCCGGCUAACUCCGUG
rnacentral:rRNA from 1 species